rnacentral:misc_RNA from 1 species
GAAGGUUGCUUGCCUCCCUAGGUUUCAGGCGAGCCUCUCCCGCCCAGUGUGCCUCUCACCACGCCUUUGAUAACACUAAAUAUGGUUAGACCCAAAUGAAGAAAGGUUUGCACAAUGUGUGCCAUUAGUCAGAGAUGAAUGAUAAAAUUGGGCAGUUAAUGAGAAAGCGACACAUGGAGGUUGAGAAGUUCAAACCACUCCUUCUAAAAAGUCAAAGAAGUCAACAGAACAAAAUAGCCAUGACUAAUAUAUAUAUAUGAUGGAAAGAAACCUAAGUCAAAUGACUUUCAACCAAGGUGACUAGCCUAGUAGACACCAAUUGAGUAGGCCAAGUCGAGUGGAGGAUGACAAACUUCACCAAGUUGACCCAACAUUGCUCGACCUAGAAUAUAAGAGAGCCCGUAUUUAAUGCUUGAAAGAGACGUCCACCAACUGACAUUCCUUCCUACUCAUUCAAUAAAAGGGAUUCUGCCAGACCACGCCCAUCUUGCUAAUAGCAGAUAACCCUACCUUUGCCCACAGAUACUUAUCAUGAGAAUCUAUUGACUGUGAUGCACUUUGACUCACUAUAUAAGGAAACAUUCCUCAAGAAAUGUAUCUUCUUUUGCCCUUAUACUCCUAAAUUCCUUUAUUCUUUAUUUAUCUCAUUCCUCCACAUUCUUCUAUACCUCCAUUAAAGCUAUAACUAACUUAAGUA